rnacentral:rRNA from 1 species
GACGAACGCUGGCGGCAUGCCUAAUACAUGCAAGUCGAGCGAACAGAUGAAGUGCUUGCACUUCUGACGUUAGCGGCGAACGGGUGAGUAACACGUAAGGAAUCUACCUAUAAGCGGGGGAUAACAUUCGGAAACGGGUGCUAAUACCGCAUAAUAUCUUCUUCCGCAUGGAAGAAGAUUGAAAGACGGCUCUGCUGUCACUUAUAGAUGACCUUGCGGUGCAUUAGUUAGUUGGUGGGGUAACGGCCUACCAAGACGAUGAUGCAUAGCCGACCUGAGAGGGGGAUCGGCCACAUUGGGACUGAGACACGGCCCAAACUCCGACGGGAGGCAGCAGUAGGGAAUCUUCCGCAAUGGGCGAAAGCCUGACGGAGCAAUGCCGCGUGAGUGAAGAAGGCCUUCGGGUCGUAAAACUCUGUUAUAAGGGAAGAACAAAUUGUAGAGUAACUGCUACAGUCUUGACGGUAUCUUAUCAGAAAGCCACGGCUAACUACGUGCCAGCCGCCGCGGUAA